rnacentral:rRNA from 1 species
GACGAACGCUGGCGGCGUGCUUAACACAUGCAAGUCGAACGAGUGGCGAACGGGUGAGUAACACGUGAGCAACUGCCCUCCGCUCUGGGAUAACUCCGGGAAACCGGGGCUAAUACCGGAUAGUGGGGGAUGGGCUCGCGGCCUAUCAGCUUGUUGGUGGGGUGAUGGCCUACCAAGGCGACGACGGGUAGCCGGCCUGAGAGGGGACCGGCCACACUGGGCUGAGACACGGCCCAGACUCCUACGGGAGGCAGCAGUGGGGAAUCUUGCGCAAUGGGCGGAAGCCUGACGCAGCGACGCCGCGUGAGGGAUGACGGCCUUCGGGUUGUAAACCUCUUUCAGCAGGGAAGCGGUACCUGCAGAAGAAGCACCGGCUAACUACGUGCCAGCAGCCGCGGUAAUUC